rnacentral:tRNA from 1 species
CCGGGUGUAGCUCAGCCUGGUAGAGCGCCAGCUUUGGGAGCUGGAUGCCGGAGGUUCAAAUCCUCUCGCCCGGACCA